UACGAAGGGGGCUAGCGUUGUUCGGACAUACUAGGCGUAAAGCGCGUGUAAGCGGGCCGUUAAGUCGGGGGUGAAAGCCCAGAGCUCAACUCUGGAACUGCCUUCGAUACUGGCGGCCUGGAGCAUGAUAGAGGCGAGUGGAAUUGCGAGUGUAGAGGUGAAAUUCGUAGAUAUUCGCAGGAACACCAGUGGCGAAGGCGACUCGCUGGAUCAUUGCUGACGCUGAGGCGCGAAAGCGUGGUGAGCAAACAGG
rnacentral:rRNA from 1 species